CUGAAAGACUGUAGGUUCAAACCUCACAAGAGGUGAUGGAGGAGCUCCACUGAGGCUCUAAUCUAUGGUUAAGAUUCCUGUUGGAAUUCUGUCAUAAUUUGGAAUCAGUCCUGAUGGGAUCAGAUAAUGGAUGUAGCCGGUAUCUAAGCAUGCUCCCCGAAGCCAGCUCAAUCCCUCCAACAAGAUAAAGCCGACAAAUUACGUGGGCCGAAAAAAACACGCAGGAGGAGAGCCAGAGAAAGAGGCAAGGAUGUAAAGAAAGAGAGGACACAGUGCCUUGAUCGUGGUAGUACCCUUGCUGUCUAUGGAGGGUCAGAGAGCUCUCGGAUUUCAUCAAAAAUAUCUUUAUUUGUGUUGCGAAGAUGAAUGAAGGUCUUACGGUUUUGGAACGACAUGAGGAAGAAAGUCAUACGGGUUGAAGCGACAUGAGGGUGAGUAAAUGAUUAAAUAAGUUUCAUUUUGGAGUAAAUUAUCCCUUUAAUGUCACCUUUUCUCUACUUUUCGUUUGAGAUUUCAACCCCCCAGAAAAAAACACGCUGACCUGAUUAGAAAAUUACCUGAAAUUGUCUCGACAUCAGUUGUUGUCAUGCAAUAGAGGAUUGUUGCUGGAAAUAUCUGGAGCAGGUCCGUUGUGACAUAAUUAUUCAAGGAGCAUUUUGUCUAACCUUCACAAACGGCGCCGUUCAUCCAUUCAGAGCCUCGCGUUUGGGUGGGAAAUGUAGCAGGACCAGGGUUCAGUGUGAGACCUCAGGAGGCAAUGAAGCAAUACGUUUCCAUCUUUCUGAAGGUCAUCUGACCUACAUGUGCUGCAGCAAGUUGGAUACAUUUUUUUUUUUUUACUGCCAGUUUGUACAUAUUUAUCAAUGUCACUCCUUAAAAUGUGAGUAAAUGCACAUAUUUUGUUCCUUUUAUAACAUUUGUCAGGGAUGCUUUGUAAGGCGUGAAUCAAAACAGACCCUGUUUACGUACUAAUACAUGUUCCAGGUGUUUUUGUGCAUCUUUUAUCAGUACUAAACAAAAACAUGACUUAUUUUAUCUCUGAAUGAUGUUUCUUGACAAUGAUUUUGGUUGGAGUCAUUGUACAUCCUGUGCCAGUGACGUUUCAUGUUCUGAACAUUUUACGCCAUUGCUGAGAUAUUUUAGUUGUUCUAGAAAUGGCAAUAAAUAAUAUAGGAGAGCACUCACAUAUCGGUCCUAGAGAUGUGGCUGACCUAGAAAGACAGUAAAAACACAGGAGGAAAAUAGACAAAGGGUCACUCAGUCAGUUCAGCUGCUUUAUCCUCAGCCCGUCGCCAUGUGCUCGAAAACCCUGUGGUGUUCAAAGUCACCUAAGACCUGUUGGAAACAGUUCCUUGAGUUGAGCCACUUUGUAAAUAUUCACUAUAUUGGAAUAACCACAUAGCUUGUAUAGUCUUCCACCCACUUAGACUGGCUGAUUGGCAGGUAAAGUGACUAAUACUGCUUUCAAGCCCUCUGGAAAUCAUAAUUACAACAUGAUGUGUGUUCAAAUGAUUUUUGCUAAAGUGAAAUGUUUUUGCUCGAUAAUGUACUUCUGGAAGCAUUUUAGCACUAAUGCAUAAUAAUGAAGAGCAAAGGAUAUGCAUUUGGUGAGUAAUCAGUGUUUUUUGUGUUUCUUGUUCUCUCAGAGAAUGAUGGGAAAUGUAGUUUGAUUGCACUAGUCUGUCUGCCCAUGAAUCAGCUAAAUGACUAGUGUUUUCUGGCUAGCUCUAUAGCAGUUGUUAAUAAACAGUACUCUAAAUGUGUACAAAACUAGCAGCAAGAUCUAUGUCUUAAAGAAGUUUAUUCAGCAAGGACACACUAAAUUGACCAAAAGU